AUUCGCCGACAACCACUGGUGGUUCUUCGACCAGUUCAAGACCUCCAUGAUCAAGAUGAGCAACCUCAAGGGCCCACAGGGAAACGUCGGCGAGGUCAGGCGCACCUGCUUCAGGCGCAACUCCGCCGGCUCCACCGUCCAGAACGCCGGCGACGAGGGCCUUGUCUCCCCUGCUUGAUUAAUACUCCUAUAUUGUUCACCUCCAUUGUCGAUCCGGCCGUGUCGUCGUAGCAGU
rnacentral:lncRNA from 1 species